rnacentral:rRNA from 1 species
UACGUAGGGUGCAAGCGUUAAUCGGAAUUACUGGGCGUAAAGCGUGCGCAGGCGGCUUUGCAAGACAGAUGUGAAAUCCCCGGGCUUAACCUGGGAACUGCAUUUGUGACUGCAUGGCUGGAGUGCGGCAGAGGGGGAUGGAAUUCCGCGUGUAGCAGUGAAAUGCGUAGAUAUGCGGAGGAACACCGAUGGCGAAGGCAAUCCCCUGGGCCUGCACUGACGCUAAGGCGCGAAAGCUAGGGGAGCAAACAGG